rnacentral:lncRNA from 1 species
UGAUUAUGUUUUGAUAUAUUCUUGUAAAAGAAAUCUAUUUUGAAUUUUAAACAUAUUUCUUUUAAAAUUGAUAACUAUCUAUUAUUCCGGGUCCGAUUAGAAAUUUCAGUUUGAGUAGUCAAAGAAAGAAGGCAAAUAGGUCUUUUCAGUAAUGGUAAUUUUUUAAUGCCUAUUCCCAAUCAUUUGCUUGAUUACUAAAAAGAAGGGUUAUUCCAGAUUCAACCACUAGAUUCAAUCCUACGUACAUGAUGAUAUCAGCUAGACUGUUUAAGGGGAUCGAUUAUUCAGACCUUCCAUGAAAAUUGUCCCUAAUAUCAAAAUACGAUUCUUAGUCUUCUAUAUGAAAAUUUGAUGUAUAUAAUGAGCCAAAUUCGGUCCAUUUAAUGCGAUUAGCGAUGACAACUAUUUUCAAGAGUAGAAAGGAUUAAUUGGGAGAAUUUUGACAAAUUUAUUUUAUUAUUCACAAUUUAUUAUGAUAAUUCUUCGCAUUAUCAUUUUUUUUAGUCUCUUAAAUUAAUAGUUCGUACCCGAUCCGUUGAAUUCCCAUUCUUCAAUGAUUGGUCAGUCUGUGAUGGGUCUAAAAGUAGCUGCCAUCAGAUACAGUAGGUUUUAUCUCAUAUGCGAUAUAUCGGUUUAAUUGCCUACUUAACCUAAAAUUAAUCAAUAGUUUUUUCAUAUAUAGUUUUACGUUGCUCUACAUCUGACUUGUGAGAUACUAAGCAGCAGAACAUGUCCUUGCCUCAUCAUGGGCAGCCCAUAUCCAGAUGGGAUCAACUAUCAGAUGGAUGGGGUUCAACUAUCUAGGCCCGGAUCCCUCCUGAAAAAUCUGAAAGUGUGGAAUCCAGAAAUUGAACUCGCAUCUUCCAGGGUGGAAAGAAGCAUGCUUCCACGCGGAGGAUGCGGAAGAGCGAUUUAUAAGAAUUUUAAAUGUACAACUAAGACAACAGGACAGAUUUUUUAAAAGAAUAAUUUGCAUAUUUUUAAUUUUAAUGGGAUUUUAUUUAUUUAAAUAAAUGUAAAAAUAAUACACCGAUUAAAUCCACCCGUCAUGCAUCGAUUAACCAAUAGAUUAGGUUAGGAUAGUUUCACUUAAGCCGCCAUAUCGCACAUCGGAUAUACUAUAUUAGUCGGGGCCACAUAUAUAUCCUAUUACAAGCUGACUAACAUCCAUAAUGGGAUCAACUGGAAGAUUGGAGAAUAGGAUUCAAUGAGCUGAGUCUGGACCCCUCUGAAAAAUUAGAAUUGUGGGAUUCGGAAUUGAACCCAGAAGAUGAUAAGUGACUGAUUUACAAUGUGGUAUCUGGUCGAUCGAAUGGCCAUAGUGGAAGUAUGCUGUCCUGGAAGAUACGGGUUCAAUUCCCGAGCUCCACACAUCCAGAUUUUUUUCAAGAGGGUCCGGGCCCGGUCCGUUGAACCCCAUCACUAUCUGAUGACUAACUCCACCAUAGAUGUGGGAGGUUCGUGGUGGCAAUUGGAAAACCCGCUGCUUAGUAUCUAUAAAGUGGAAAGUGGUGCAAAACUGCACAGAAAAAACUCUGUACACGGCCAACUAAUUAAUCGAUAGCAUUUUUAAAAUCAGUGUAUGAGAUUUUUCAUUCUAUUAAUGAUAAAAUUAUACAUACUUAUAUAAAAAUAUCGGUAGCCGUUUGAAAUAAAAUAUUGAGGCUUAUUUGAUAUAUUAUACAUGCUUUUUGAACCGAUAAUUGUAUAUAUUCAUUUUUUAUGCCACUUUUCAAUGGCGGUAAGAAAAUUCAAAAUCCACAAAAAGCUGUCUAUCCAUAUCUAUGAUGAAAUCAGUUUUAAGGUUAAGGAUCCGGUUCUUUUUUUGGUAACGAAGAAUGAGAUUUUUUGUUGAUGUCGCUACUUUCCACGUAGUAGAAUACUAAGUGACGGAACAAAACAAACCUUGUCACAGACUGCUCAUCUCUACAGAUUACGGAUUAUGAAGACCAGGGAUUGACGGGGUUGGACUCUGACUCAUAAAUAAAUUUUUCAAGCGGUGACCCAAGAAUCGAACCCGUGCCCUUCAUAGUGGAAAACCGAAGACCAGAGACCUGAAAAAGUCGUGCCAGGGAUUAAAUUUAAGAUUUUGUCAUAUAGAAUCUAGUACACUAUUUGAGUCAGCCAGAUGACAGCGUGGUAAAGUAUUGCACUUAUCAUCUUGGAAGUUUGUGUGUAAAUACUUUGGCUUUCCACUUAUGGGUUCUGAAAUCAAUGGUCCUAUACCUCAAAAAUUAAUAUAAUGGAUUUGGGCUGGCGUAUCGAUAUUUAUCUUUUAUAUUCCGGCUGAUCCCUGCACGAGUCGGCAGUCUGUAGGGACAUAUUCUCUCCACAAAAUGGCAUCGAAACAAAAAUACGGAUGAUCUAAAACUGAUAGAAAAAGAUCCUAUCCACAGAUGUAGGCAGUUUUUGGAAGGGUCUAAUUAGUCUAUCAUUUAGAAAAAACACUGAUUGGAGAAGGAGUUUUAUAUUUUAAAUAUCAGAUACACAUUACGAUCUAAAAAUAUUGUACUUUAAUUAUUAUAAUAUCGGUUUUAAUCGGCCAGUUCGCCACAUGAUUUUAAGCAUCAGCUUACUACUUGGAUAAUUCGCAUUCAGUUCCCACAUCUCUAAAAAAUUUUCGGAUGUCCAGUGAGAUUCAUUUAAACCGAUCUUUCAACUGACAGUCGACAUCACCAGGGAAUGCUCCUUGAUGUCGACUGGAAUGCUCUGCUACUUAAUAAGCACCGAUUGGAAAGCUUCAUAAAGCCACACACAAAGAAUAUACUUUCUAUAUUUUACUUUUUUGAAAUGCAUUUGUUAAUAACUCAUUAUUUCAAACAACCUUUUUUCUUCACUAUAAUACAGUAUGGUUAUUACGUAAUUUAAAAUAAAUACAGUCGAGCCCCGAUUUAACGAACCCGGAAUUAACAAAUUUCGCGAUUCAACGAAUUAUUUUCAUGGUCCCGACACGAAUUGGUUAAAAUUCACGGAUUUAACGAAUAAAGAACCUCGAUUUAACGAACGCUCAAG